rnacentral:rRNA from 1 species
GAUGAACGCUGGCGGCGUGCCUAAUACAUGCAAGUCGAACGCAUAGCGAAAGGUGCUUGCACCUUUCAAGUGAGUGGCGAACGGGUGAUUAACACGUGGACAACCUGCCUCAAGGCUGGGGUUAACAUUUGGAAACAGAUGCUAAUACCGAAUAAAACUUAGUGUCGCAUGACCCAAAGUUAAAAGGCGCUUCGGCGUCACCUAGAGAUGGAUCCGCGCUGCAUUAGUUAGUUGGUGGGGUAAAGGCCUACCAAGACAAUGAUGCAUAGCCGAGUUGAGAGACUGAUCGGCCACAUUGGGACUGAGACACGGCCCAAACUCCUACGGGAGGCAGCAGUAGGGAAUCUUCCACAAUGGGCGAAAGCCUGAUGGAGCAACGCCGCGUGUGUGAUGAAGGCUUUCGGGUCGUAAAGCACUGUUGUAUGGGAAGAACAGCUAGGAAAGGAAAUGAGUAUAGUUUGACGGUACCAAACCAGAAAGCGACGGCUAAAUACGUG